UACGAAGGGGGGCUAGCGUUGCUCGGAAUCACUGGGCGUAAAGCGCACGUAGGCGGCUUUCUAAGUCAGGGGUGAAAUCCUGGAGCUCAACUCCAGAACUGCCUUUGAUACUGGAGAGCUUGAGUCCGGAAGAGGUGAGUGGAACUCCGAGUGUAGAGGUGAAAUUCGUAGAUAUUCGGAAGAACACCAGUGGCGAAGGCGGCCCACUGGUCCGGUACUGACGCUGAGGUGCGAAAGCGGUGGGGAGCAAACAGG
rnacentral:rRNA from 1 species